rnacentral:lncRNA from 1 species
ACGCUAAAUUUCAUUAAAACGCUAUUCACCCCCCUCUAGCGUUAAGCGUAGUUUCUAACAAAACCAACAGCAACUUUGAGGGUUAAAUUAAGUCCAAACUGCAGGACGUAGUUAAGUGAUUUCAGUUUAGUUUCAUUAUUCUUAUAUUGACUUGCAUUUAAAGGUAAACCUUCUUAUAUCAAACUAUCCUCAAUCUCUAUUUCCUCCGAAGCUAGGAUCAUUUCUUUGUUCUUCCUUCAUUGAUCCAAGCAAAUGGAUUUCAACUCAAUUUAUCAACUUGACAGGGCGUGGAAUGUUCAAGAAAUGGACUUUGAGCCUAAAUCAACCUAGCUCAUGAUAUGAGGAUUACUCAAGACUAUAUAAGGACACCAAUUACCCCAUCCUAUAAUCGACAUAGGACUAUUCUAACACGGAAGCAGACAAGGCUAAAGCAAAUGCACCUAAGCAUGGAAACUGGCAGCAAAGCAUCAUCUUUUAAGUUCCAAUCAGAUGGUAACUCAAAGGGCAGUCGGGUGCACUAAGCUUCCGAUGUGCGGGGGGGUCCGGGGAAGGGCCGGACCACACGGUUCUAUUAUAUGCAGUUUAUCUUGCAUUUCUGGAAAAGGCUGUCGUGACCUCCUGAUCACAUGACAACAACUUUAUCAGUUACGCCACUCGGAGGAAAAGGAGAAAAAACAAGGAAGCAUAAUGAAACAAUUUCUGAGCCAAAAAUACAGCUCAUUCUGUUGGAGCUUAUUAUUAGUCUUAUUUCAUGUAAAUAUUCAAUACCCAUAAACUAGCGCCGCCUCACUCAUAUCCAAUAAUUAGCUUGUUUGAGAAAAAAAUAAAAUAAAAGAGCAUAUACAAAAUACAGAAAUUUAGCACAUAUAAUUAAUGAUUAUCUAAGUGAGCUGUAUCAAUUUAGUAUCUUAACUCAAUACUUGCCUCAAAUUCAACCCAAGGAAAUCCAGAAAAAGACAAAAGGAAGAAGAAUAAGAAGUAGAGGUAAAAAUUAACAACCAAGAUUCAACUACAGAGUCAAAUAUUUAGAGAAAUUCUUAAAAAGAUGGAAACUUUGACAAAACCAAUUUAUUUAAGAUUGGAUUCUUGAUCUCAAGAUCAAGAAAAACACAAAAAUAAACAAUAAGAAAGUAGAAAAAACAGAAAAUGAAUAAGAACCAGCAAAGAACAAAGAAUUGAGAAAUACCUCAAAAAUAGCAGAAACAAAAGCACGUGAAAAUUUAUUUAUUUUUUUGUUUUUGGGCAAAUGUUUUUUGAGGUUUAUGUUGGCUUGGUACUAUAGUAAGAACAAUUCCCAAGAAAUGAAAUGGGAAAGUCAUAGAGUCUUGAUAUUUUUCUAAAUCAAGUCUUGAUAAUAUUUUUUGUUCAGACUAAUAAUACAAAAUAGUAAAUAAUAAUUGCAGACACGCUGCAGAAAUAGUAGUACAACGAUGAAGAAAAGACUUUUUGUGGUCUCCUUCC